AUUGAACGCUGGCGGCAGGCUUAACACAUGCAAGUCGAGCGGAGAUGAGGUGCUUGCACCUUAUCUUAGCGGCGGACGGGUGAGUAAUGCUUAGGAAUCUGCCUAUUAGUGGGGGACAACAUUCCGAAAGGAAUGCUAAUACCGCAUACGCCCUACGGGGGAAAGCAGGGGAUCUUCGGACCUUGCGCUAAUAGAUGAGCCUAAGUCGGAUUAGCUAGUUGGUGGGGUAAAGGCCUACCAAGGCGACGAUCUGUAGCGGGUCUGAGAGGAUGAUCGGCCACACUGGGACUGAGACACGGCCCAGACUCCUACGGGAGGCAGCAGUGGGGAAUAUUGGACAAUGGGGGGAAGCCUGAUCCAGCCAUGCCGCGUGUGUGAAGAAGGCCUUUUGGUUGUAAAGCACUUUAAGCGAGGAGGAAGCUACCUGGAUUAAUACUCUAGGAUAGUGGACGUUACUCGCAGAAUAAGCACCGGCUAACUCUGUGCCAGCCGCCGCAGUAAGAC
rnacentral:rRNA from 1 species